AUUGAACGCUGGCGGAAUGCUUUACACAUGCAAGUCGAACGGCAGCACGGGAGCUUGCUCCUGGUGGCGAGUGGCGAACGGGUGAGUAAUAUAUCGGAACGUAUCCAAUAAUGGGGGAUAACUAGUCGAAAGAUUAGCUAAUACCGCAUACGCCCUGAGGGGGAAAGCUGGGGAUUUUCGGACCUAGCGUUAAUGGAGCGGCCGAUAUCUGAUUAGCUAGUAGGUGAGGUAAAAGCUCACCUAGGCGACGAUCAGUAGCUGGUCUGAGAGGACGACCAGCCACACUGGAACUGAGACACGGUCCAGACUCCUACGGGAGGCAGCAGUGGGGAAUUUUGGACAAUGGGCGCAAGCCUGAUCCAGCCAUUCCGCGUGAGUGAAGAAGGCCUUCGGGUUGUAAAGCUCUUUCGCAAGGGAAGAAAACUUAACCUCUAACAUAGGUUGAGGCUGACGGUACCUUGAUAAGAAGCACCGGCUAACUACGUGCCAGCCGCCGCCGUAA
rnacentral:rRNA from 1 species